GAUGAACGCUGGCGGCGUGCCUAAUACAUGCAAGUCGAACGCUGAAGCUUGGUGCUUGCACCGCGCGGAUGAGUUGCGAACGGGUGAGUAACGCGUAGGUAACCUGCCUGGUAGCGGGGGAUAACUAUUGGAAACGAUAGCUAAUACCGCAUAAGAGUAGAUGUUGCAUGACAUUUGCUUAAAAGGUGCAAUUGCAUCACUACCUGAUUGACUUGCGGUGUAUUUGCUUGGUUGUGAGGUUACGGGCUACCAAGGCAACGGUUCAUAACCGACCUGGGAGGGGGGUCGGCCACACUGGGACUUGGGCACGGCCCAGACUCCUACGGGGAGCAGCAGUAGGGGAACCUCGGGAAUGGACGGAAGUCUGACCGGGCAACGGCGGGGGGAGUGAGGAAGUUUUCGGAUCGGAAAGCUCUGUUGAAAGGGGAGGAAGAGUGGGGGAAGUAAAAGUGCACACUGUGACGGUAUCUUACCAGAAAGGGACGGCUAACUACGUG
rnacentral:rRNA from 1 species